rnacentral:rRNA from 1 species
CGUCUAUAUACGUAUAGCAUAUCAAUAAGCGGAGGAAAAGAAACUAACUAGGAUUCCCUUAGUAACGGCGAGUGAAGCGGGAAGAGCUCAAGUUUGAAAUCUUCAAGGUUUUACCUUGACGAAUUGUAGUUUAAAGAAGUGUUUUCUGUUGGUGUUUUGGUAAAAGUUCUUUGGAAUAGGACAUCAUAGAGGGUGAGAAUCCCGUAUUUGACCAUUAUUUCCAACUUUGUGAUACACUUUCAAAGAGUCGGAUUGUUUGGGAAUGCAGUCCAAAAUGGGUGGUAAAUUUCAUCUAAAGCUAAAUACUGGCGAGAGACCGAUAGCGAACAAGUACCGUGAGGGAAAGAUGAAAAGAACUUUGAAAAGAGAGUUAAACAGUACGUGAAAUUGUCAAAAGGGAAGCGUUUGACACCAGUGUUGUUUUCUCGAAAAUCAAUUAAAAAAGACCGGAUUUUGUGUUGUAUUGACUUUAUCAGCUUUCUGCACUCUUUUCUUGUCUUUUUUAAUGCACUUUUCGUUUAACAAGUCAACAUCAAUUUCUUUUGUUGUAAAAGGGUCAUUGGAAGGUGGCUUUCUUUUCGGAGAAAGUGUUUAUAGCCUUUGGCCUCUGCAAUCGGAGAGAUUGAGGUCUGCAGCGUAGAUCCUUCGGGGUUAGAUACAUUUGUGCUAAGUUAUAGCCUUUCAUAGACAACUUGUUGACUAUGAUCAGUCAUGUAGCUUACUCGCUUAUGCUAUUUUACCUACGCUUAGGAUGUUGAAGUCAUCGUAUCGCGC